rnacentral:rRNA from 1 species
GACGAACGCUGGCGGCGUGCUUAACACAUGCAAGUCGAACGGAGUGGCGAACGGGUGAGUAACACGUGGGUGAUCUGCCUUGCACUUCGGGAUAAGCUUGGGAAACUGGGUCCAAUACCGGCUUGUGCAAGAUGAGCGCGCGGCCUAUCAGCUUGUUGGUGGGGUAAUGGCCUACGAAGGCGUCGACGGGUAGCCGGCCUGGGAGGGUGUACGGCCUCAUUGGGACUAAGAUACGGCCCAGGCUGCUACGGUAGGCAGCAGUGGGGAAUAUUGCACAAUGAGGGGGAGCCUGAUGCAGCGACGCCGCGUGGGGAAUGAAGGCCUUCGGGUUGUGAACUCCUUUCGACUGGGACGCGUUACCUGUAUAAGAAGCACCGGCUAACUACGUGCCAGCCGCCGCGGUAAUUC